CAAGAGGUAGUUUAGAGUUUAUAAUUCUGGCUUUGGGUGCCAGAGGCGAAAGUGUGAAUCUUUCCUUCUUGA
rnacentral:tRNA from 1 species